CGGGGCAGGGGAGACGGGUUCAAAAAAUAAUUAAAAAUCGAGGAAAUACCCCAGACAAGACCUUUCGCCGUGAAAACCCCACAGAGGACCCAGGCUACCCGCAACGGAGGUUUGGGGUGCCGGGAAGGUCUGGACCGCGACCCCUGGGGCUUUGGAUACCGAGGGGGAAACUUGCAGGGGUGAGCGCGGCGGCGGGAGUGUCCGGCCGCGGCCCACAAGGGCAGAGGCCGGGGACGGUGGCGAAGAGCUGGGGGACAGACGAGAACGGGGAGCCGCCGGAGAGAGGCGCGGGGGGCUCCGGCCUCUCCUUCGGGGGGGACCCGCUAUCGCCCCUGCACACACCUCCUCCCCCCUCCCACCCCACCCAGCUCUCCGCACCCAGGAAACUGAAGGCCGAAACGAGGACAUAUGAGAAAACUGGCUCCUACAGGAUUGAUGUUGAAAAUUCACCUUCCAGAAGAUGCCCGGGCAUCCAUGUAGACUGGACUUGGUCUCUACCCUCUCUGUCCUGGGCAGUCAGACCUGGUGCCUGGUGGUGACCUCGAGCCAGAAGAAGCCUCUCGCCAAGAUCACCAAGAAGGAGGCAUUUGUUUCUCCGUGCUGGCUAAGCUAGGAAAGCCUGGCUUUGAGAGGUUUUUUGUAACAAGAAUUGAAACCUAAA